GACGAACGCUGGCGGCGUGCUUAACACAUGCAAGUCGAACGGUAAGGCCCCUUCGGGGGUACACGAGUGGCGAACGGGUGAGUAGCACGUGGGCGAUCUGCCCUGCACUUCGGGAUAAGCCUGGGAAACUGGGUCUAAUACCGGAUAGGACCACGCUCUGCAUGGAGCGUGGUGGAAAGCUUUUGCGGUGUGGGAUGGGCCCGCGGCCUAUCAGCUUGUUGGUGGGGUAAUGGCCUACCAAGGCGACGAC
rnacentral:rRNA from 1 species